rnacentral:rRNA from 1 species
UACGUAGGGGGCAAGCGUUGUCCGGAUUUAUUGGGCGUAAAGAGCGUGUAGGCGGUCAGGUAGGUCCGUUGUGAAAACUCGAGGCUCAACCUCGAGACGCCGAUGGAAACCAUCUGACUAGAGUCCGGAAGAGGAGAGUGGAAUUCCUGGUGUAGCGGUGAAAUGCGCAGAUAUCAGGAAGAACACCCGUGGCUAAGGCGGCUCUCUAAUACGGUACUGACGCUGAGACGCGAAAGCGUGGGGAGCGAACAGG